rnacentral:rRNA from 2 species
AGGUUAAGUUAACAAGGGCGCAUGGUGAAUGCCUUGGCACUAGGAACCGAUGAAGGACGGGACUAACACCGAUAUGCUUCGGGGAGCUGUACGUAAGCUAUGAUCCGGAGAUUUCCGAAUGGGGCAACCCAGCAGUUUUAAUCAACUGUUACCACUAGAUGAAUUCAUAGUCUAGUUGGAGGUAAACGCUGUGAACUGAAACAUCUCAUUAGCAGCAGGAAUAUAAAGAAAUUUCGAUUCCCUAAGUAGCGGCGAGCGAACGGGGAACAGCCCAAACCAAAGUGCUUGCACUUUGGGGUUGUAGGACUGAACAUUUGAGUUACCAAAGAACUUGAUAGUCGAAGGAUUUGGGAAAAUCCGCCAUAGAUGGUGAUAGCCCAGUAGAUUAAAUCAAAUUCUCUCAGUUCAGGAUCCUGAGUACGGCGGAACACGUGAAAUUCCGUCGGAAUCCGGGAGGACCAUCUCCCAAGGCUAAAUACUACCUAGUGACCGAUAGUGAACCAGUACCGUGAGGGAAAGGUGAAAAGCACCCCGGGAGGGGAGUGAAAUAGUUCCUGAAACCAUGUGCCUACAAUAAGUCAGAGCGCGUUAAUGCGUGAUGGCGUGCCUUUUGUAGAAUGAACCGGCGAGUUAUGAUCCCGUGCAAGGUUAAGACUAAAAAGUCGGAGCCGUAGCGAAAGCGAGUCUGAAAUGGGCGAUUUGAGUACGAGGUUAUAGACCCGAAACCAGGUGACCUAUCCAUGUCCAGGUUGAAGGUGCGGUAAAACGCACUGGAGGACCGAACCCGUGUAAGUUGAAAAUUGCUGGGAUGAGGUGUGGAUAGCGGUGAAAUUCCAAACGAACUUGGAGAUAGCUGGUUCUCUCCGAAAUAGCUUUAGGGCUAGCCUCGGAUUAAGGAUCAUGGAGGUAGAGCACUAUUUGGACUAGGGGCCCGUCUUGGGUUACUGAAUUCAGAUAAACUCCGAAUGCCAUUGAUUCAUGUCCGGGAGUCAGACGAUGAGUGAUAAGAUCCACCGUCGAAAGGGGAACAGCCCAGACCAUCAGUUAAGGUCCCUAAAUGUAUGCUAAGUGGAAAAGGAUGUGGAGUUGCAUAGACAACUAGGAUGUUGGCUCAGAAGCAGCCACCAUUUAAAGAGUGCGUAAUAGCUCACUAGUCGAGUGAUCCUGCGCCGAAAAUGUACCGGGGCUAAGCAUACUACCGAAACCAUGGAUGCGACCAUUAGGUCGCGUGAUAGGAGAGCGUUCUAAGGGCGGUGAAGCAAGAUCGUGAGGACUUGUGGAGCGCUUAGAAGUGAGAAUGCCGGUAUGAGUAGCGAAAGAUAGGUGAGAAUCCUAUCCACCGAAUGACUAAGGUUUCCUGGGGAAGGCUCGUCCUCCCAGGGUUAGUCGGGACCUAAGUCGAGGCCGAGAGGCGUAGACGAUGGAUAACAGGUUGAGAUUCCUGUACUAGUUAAGUGCGUUUGAGCAAUGGAGGGACGCAGGAGGCUAAGAUGUGCAUUCUGUUGGAUUAGAAUGUCCAAGCAGUAAGUCUUGUGGAGAGUCAAAUGCUUUUCACUUUAAGGACAAGCUGUGAUGGGGAGCGAAAUUUAGUAGCGAAGCGUCUGAUGUCACACUGCCGAGAAAAGCUUCUAGUGAGUACUUAACUACCCGUACCGCAAACCGACACAGGUAGUCGAGGAGAGAAUCCUAAGGUGAGCGAGUGAACUCUCGUUAAGGAACUCGGCAAAAUGACCCCGUAACUUCGGGAGAAGGGGUGCUGAUCGCAAGAUCAGCCGCAGUGAAUAGGCCCAGGCGACUGUUUAUCAAAAACACAGGUCUCUGCAAAAUCGUAAGAUGACGUAUAGGGGCUGACGCCUGCCCGGUGCUGGAAGGUUAAAAGGAUGGGUUAGCUUCGGCGAAGCUCAGAAUUGAAGCCCCAGUAAACGGCGGCCGUAACUAUAACGGUCCUAAGGUAGCGAAAUUCCUUGUCGGGUAAGUUCCGACCCGCACGAAAGGCGUAACGAUCUGGGCACUGUCUCAACGAGAGACUCGGUGAAAUUAUAUUGUCCGUGAAGAUGCGGACUACCCGCGACAGGACGGAAAGACCCCAUGGAGCUUUACUGUAGCUUGAUAUUGAGUGUUUGUACAGCUUGUACAGGAUAGGUAGGAGCCAUAGAAACCGGAACGCUAGUUUCGGUGGAGGCGUUGGUGGGAUACUACCCUCGCUGUAUGACCACUCUAACCCGCACCACUAAUCGUGGUGGGAGACAGUGUCAGGUGGGCAGUUUGACUGGGGCGGUCGCCUCCUAAAAAGUAACGGAGGCGCCCAAAGGUUCCCUCAGAAUGGUUGGAAAUCAUUCGCAGAGUGUAAAGGCACAAGGGAGCUUGACUGCGAGACAGACAGGUCGAGCAGGGACGAAAGUCGGGCUUAGUGAUCCGGUGGUACCGUAUGGAAGGGCCAUCGCUCAACGGAUAAAAGCUACCCUGGGGAUAACAGGCUUAUCUCCCCCAAGAGUCCACAUCGACGGGGAGGUUUGGCACCUCGAUGUCGGCUCAUCGCAUCCUGGGGCUGUAGUCGGUCCCAAGGGUUGGGCUGUUCGCCCAUUAAAGCGGUACGCGAGCUGGGUUCAGAACGUCGUGAGACAGUUCGGUCCCUAUCCGUCGCGGGCGUAGGAAAUUUGAGAGGACCUGUCCUUAGUACGAGAGGACCGGGAUGGACAUACCUCUGGUGUACCAGUUGUGCCGCCAGGCGCAUCGCUGGGUAGCUACGUAUGGAUGUGAUAAACGCUGAAAGCAUCUAAGUGUGAAACACACCUCGAGAUGAGAUUUCCCAUUCCUUUAUGGAAGUAAGACCCCUGAAAGAUGAUCAGGUAGAUAGGUUAGAAGUGGCAGUGCGGUGACGCAUGAAGCGGACUAAUACUAAUCGGUCGAGGACUUAACCAAG